rnacentral:lncRNA from 10 species
AACAGGAAAUGGGAUUGCAAACCUAGUAGCUGCGCGUGCCGGCUGUUCAGGACUAGCGCAGGACUCCGGGCGCCCUCCCAGCCUACUCGUGCCGCUGCCCGGGCACUAGCUUCCCGAGAAAAGUCGUGGGACCAUGUCGAAUAUGGCCAUUCAGAAAGGCAAUAAGCAAGCUCUAAGAAUACAUGCUGAAAAUACAAUCCACCAGAAAAAGCAAGCAAUUGAUUUCUUAAGAGUGAGUGCUAGAGUUGAUGCUGUGGCAGCCAGAGUUCAAAAUGCAGUAACAAUGGGCAGGGUAAGACUUGAGAUCUAUAAAUAAUAAGAACUCUUGAUUUAAGUUUAGUAAGAGUAUUGAGUUAUCAGAACUCUAAAUUUGUUGCAGGGUGCUGCAGGGUGCUGGUAAAGGUGCAACAUAUUCAAAGUACUUGGUG